CAUUUUAAAUCAAAACGAUAUGAAAAACCUAAUGUGAAUCAACUAGAAAAUAAAAUGAAACGCAAGAGCAUGUUUAUUUUAUCGAAACUGAAUUUUGGGUUGCAGUGAAAUUCGCUAGAAAUUACUUUUUUCUGCAGUUUAUUUCGUAGUUAUAAAAGUAAGUUUUAUUAGUUCUGAUGUUUGUUUAGUAGAAAAUAUAUGAUGUAAAAUUAUAAUUUAUGUAUAAAUAAUAAAUAAUUUAAUAAAUAAAAAAUAAUUUAAUUAUAUUUUUUAAUUUUUGUCAUAUUUUAAUUGUACAAAUUAAAUAAAAAAAUAUUAAAACUUAAUUAAUUAAUUUUUAUAAUAUUUUAAAUAUGUUAACUGAAUAAAAGAAUAAUUACUACCAUAAUUAAAUAUAUUUAAAAAUAAUUAUCUUUAUUUAGUAUAUUAUUUUAUUAUUUUUCUUCACCUCUCCUUACUAUAAUUGANAAUUGUACAAAUUAAAUAAAAAAAUAUUAAAACUUAAUUAAUUAAUUUUUAUAAUAUUUUAAAUAUGUUAACUGAAUAAAAGAAUAAUUACUACCAUAAUUAAAUAUAUUUAAAAAUAAUUAUCUUUAUUUAGUAUAUUAUUUUAUUAUUUUUCUUCACCUCUCCUUACUAUAAUUGACUUCCGCCCACCACGUGCCGAAAUUAAUUACAUCGUUUCAGGUUAACUCAAAUUUCAACUAUAACUUAUUUACGGUGAACCAAACAACAGAGAUAAUUGUUUAUAGCGAAAACGACUUUCCUCCUCUCCACUUUCAUCCCACUUCCACCCAAACAAAUAUGCCCCAAAUAUAAUAAUACAUUCAGCACUGCGACCUCAGUGAGCUGAAUU
rnacentral:lncRNA from 1 species